CCCCACUGUAUGUAGCUGGCUGUCGAGAUUACCAGCAAACUGAACAACAAAAUACUGCAGAUCCGGAUUCUGGAUUCAGUGGGUUGGCAAAAAUGAAACAAAACAAAAAUGAUGCCAAUUUUCAGUUUCUUGAGAUGCAACUGUUAUCUUGCUAUUUCUAUAUCUGGCAACUACAUCCCAGAUACUUUCCCUGAAUUUCAACAAUGCUUGUGCAAAGCUGAAGUGACUGCUAUGGCUUUGCCUGUGCUUUCAAGGCAUCCCACGUGAUUUCUUUAGAAACUCCAC